CGCGGAGACCUCAUGGUACAUCCAGCAUCCACCGGAGGAGAGGAGGGGGGAGCCGCCGCUGCUGCUGCACCUUUACCAGCUCUCCAUGUCUGCGGAGAGGCUGCUGCUGCUGCUGCUGCUGAUCGGGACUGAUGGAGAGGAGGAGAUUGGAAGAACCAGGACUCCCGGAGCUGGACCCGAUCAGACCCGAUCAGACCUGAUCAGACCUGAGUCCUGUCAGCUGUGAAGCUCAUCACCAGUGUUUUCUUUCACCAUGAGGCGAGAAACAUCUCGACCACUCAGGUCAUCGUCACAGUUCUGCUUCUUCCAGGACGUUGAUCUGUGGAAGACGUCGCAGCAGGAUGAAGAUCCUUUCACCCCGACUGUCGGAAAUGUUUCUGCUGAUUCUUUGUGUCUUAGUUUCUUGCAUCGUGCAGCUGUCGUCUCUGUUGUGACAGCUUCUUGUUCUCAGGUCUCUCUUGGAAAAUAGAUUUUAACCCUGAUGAAAUAAAGAUUCAAUAACAGAUAAACACGGUGAUAGAUCUGAUAAUAAAAGCUAAAGACUGUGAACCAGGCAUUUUUUACAGUGUGGAGGUGUUUUCAUCCUCUUCCCUCUCUGCAUCAUGACGUGGCUCUCACGGAUCUGAAGUCCAUCUCAUCUCCUCCUGCUCAGACUCUUGGCA